GCCGAAGUGGUGGAAUUGGUAGACACGCCGUCUUGAGGGGGCGGUGGCGAGAGCCGUGCCGGUUCAAGUCCGGCCUUCGGCACCA
rnacentral:tRNA from 1 species